CUUAUCCAGAGUGACCGAGGGACAUGGCCCUAUGACGUCCGGCAACCCCCAAAAGGGAAGGUGCCAAUUCCUGCAGAAUGAUUUUCAUUCUGAAAGAUAAG
rnacentral:ncRNA from 1 species